AUUGAACGCUGGCGGCAGGCCUAACACAUGCAAGUCGAGCGAGAGGCGGACGGGUGAGUAAUGUAUGGGGAUCUGCCUGAUGGAGGGGGAUAACUACUGGAAAAGGUAGCUAAUACCGCAUACCAUCAGAUGAACCCAUAUGGGAUUAGCUUGUAGGUGAGGUAAAGGGUCCCCAAGGAGACGAUCCCUAGCUGGUCUGAGAGGAUGAUCAGCCACACGUGGACUGAGACACGUCCCAGACUCCUACGGGAGGCAGCAGUGGGGAAUAUUGCACAAUGGGCGCAAGCCUGAUGCAGCCAUGCCGCGUGUAUGAUGAAGGCCUUCGGGUUGUAAAGUACUUUUAGCAGGGAGGCGUUACCGACAGAAGAAGCACCGGCUAACUCCGUGCCAGCAGCCGCGGUAAUAC
rnacentral:rRNA from 1 species